ACAGAUUAUUACCAAAUGAGGAUCAGAAAGUUGGCUGUUGAAAUAAAGUUCUUACUACAAGCAUUUAUAACAGAAUUAAAAGGAACAUGACAUAUUACAGGCGUAACUGUUUAUGUAUCAAAAGGCAGAAAGACACAAGUAAAAUUCGAGCACAAAUCAGUUCAUCAGGUGAGUCUGCAUUAAGGACAGGUAUUUAAGUAAACUAAACAACCACUUUUCUUUGGAAAGUCCAUAGGAUGUUAGUGCUUUUUAUAUGAGAAUGUUGCAUGACUUAUAUGUGGUGUUUGUUAUCUUAUGGAUGCACUAGUGGAAGAAGAUUUCUGUAUAGCUAAAAAUAUACAGGAUCUAGGUCCUCAUGAUAUAUAGAAUAACAAAGGCAGGAAUAGAAAUUGUGUAAAUAUGCCAAAUUCAACAACGAAAGUGUUCUCCUCCUGCUGUACUGCUGUCAUUGUCUUAACGAAAGUGAUUGGUCUCAACUUAAAAUAUCCUUAAAUGGGGGGGAGAGGUGUCGAAGGAUGUGGAACAAUCCAUUGAGAUUGAACAUCUUUCCUGAAACAACACUGAGCAACAAGUGAAAGACCUUGAAGCGUCAACAGAGGGCAAGGCUGUCAAGUGAACAGAACACUUACAAGUGGUUUGUGCACAAUCUCAAAUUCUACUUGAAAGGGCUUGCUCAAUUAGUAAACAAGUCAAGCUUGAGAUUGACCUAGUCCUUCACGUCAGGCUCAAUUAAGAUCAAAAUAUAAAUUAAAUAAUUAAAUAAAUCAUAUCAGUAUACUAUUUGAGUUACUAUUUUUAAAUAAUAGUGUUAUUUAUAUUUACCUAUUAGAUACUAACAAAUUUAACACAAUAAGAAUGUAAUUAGCUGUAAAAAAUUGAAACAUGAUGGCAGAAAAUAGAUUAAGAAAUACAUCUGAAAACCCUCACAUCUUAACAAAUCCCUUGUGUAGUUUGUAAACAACUAUAUGAGCUUGAAUGUAAGAGCUAGUUCAAGCUCUCUUUGAUUAUAAAACUAGCUGAGCUAGAGGAAAACUAGAUUAUUCUGCUUGAUUAUAAAACUAGCUGACCUAGAGCAAAACUAGAGCAUGGCCUGCCUUGCUUGAGCUUGGCCUGUUUGGAUACUCAAACAGAGGGCACUAAGAUAAGAGUCAUGCAAUGCACAAAAGUAAUUAGAUCACAUGACUUUUUGGAACUAUCUAAUGAGCAUAAAUCAUCUCACUGAAUGGAAUAUACAGGAUUGCAGGGUUUCAACGAGGCAAGUUAAACAAAAUUGUAUAAUUCAGUUUUUCUUUUCUUUUUUUCUUCUUAAGAAAAGCAGAAGCAGGUGUCAAGUGGUUCAGUUGGUAAAUCUAAUUUUAUUCCAUCCAUCUUAAGUCAUUAAACCGCUGACCGGAGACAACUAUCAUACGAAUCUAAUUAGCUGCGUAAAAUUUCCAAAGAUGUGAGUUAUGCGAUGAUUUAUGGCCAUCCAGAACGAAAAUAUAACCAU
rnacentral:lncRNA from 1 species